CUGAAAGAAAAACAAUGUGCUGUGUGAUAGCUAUAAUGUUAUGUAGGCCUAUUGAAAGAAAUAUGCUAUGCUUAGUACUGAUUUUCUGUUUAUAGCAUUUUACAACAGGAUUCUUAUGUAUUUCCAGCUUUCUCUACAUAAAAGGAAGAAACGUCUUUGCCACGGAGCAGGGCCUGAAACCCCUACAGAGAUGCUUACGCAGGACACUGAUGCAUCUUGGUCUAAGCAACAUACAACAAAGGACAAAAAAAGCAAUUUCUUUCACCAUGGAUGUUUUGGGACAUCUGGUGAUUAUGUUGACUCUGUUGCUCCAAGACCUGCAAAUGAUGUAGGAGUGAGAUGAACAGGACACUGGUAAACAGCGCUCAACUUUUUUAUUCAACAGCCACUGUGGCUGGUUUUCCAAAGUUACUAGCCACUCAACAUUUUCACUAGCCACCAUUCAAGCAAUAUAUAUAUUCUUAACAUGACCUACAACUAUUAACAUGUUAUUUAAAAAUAAAUAUAAAAUCACCCACCAGC
ensembl:lncRNA